CAGCAGCCGCGGGAAUACGAAGGGUGCAAGCGUUAAUCGGAAUUACUGGGCGUAAAGCGUGCGUAGGCGGUGAGUUAAGUCUGCUGUGAAAUCCCCGGGCUCAACCUGGGAGUGGCAGUGGAUACUGGCAAGCUAGAGUGUGUCAGAGGAUGGUGGAAUUCCCGGUGUAGCGGUGAAAUACGUAGAGAUCGGGAGGAACAUCAGUGGCGAAGGCGGCCAUCUGGGACAACACUGACGCUGAGGCACGAAAGCGUGUGGAGCAAACAGGAUUAGAUACCCGCGUAGUCCCUGUCUCUUAUAC
rnacentral:rRNA from 1 species